rnacentral:tRNA from 11 species
CGUGGCCUAGUGGUUAAGAAACCAGGCUAAUAGCCUGGAGGUCGCUGGUUCGAACCCG